GGGACCAGACGAAAUGAAAGAAAAGAAUCUUAAAGAGUCCAUAUUAGUUUGAUAUGAUACCUCUGGUGUCUUCCCAAGGUCACUGCUAGCUGUGAAAAGACAAGAGAAGUCAACUGAAUCAGCCUAUAACCUUAAGCUGCAGUGGAACAGGCUCUCAAGAGCUUUCAUUGGAAUAAGUCUCCAAGCAUUACAGCAUUAAUCUUCGGAAGCUUGCUUCAGAUAACUUAAUGGAGGGCAUAAGAAGAUUUCUUUGCUACUGAUAAAGAAAACACCAGACAGCAACAUACAUUAGCUGCUAUUCUCAGUAGUAUGGUUUUGGAAGUAUAUACAGAAAUAAGACAUCUUUGGAGUCGAAAUGUUCAAAUACAGUCCAGAAUCCCAUGCUAUUAGCCAUGCUUGAAUAUGAUAAAAAUUACAGUCCAAGACAUUUGGAGGCACCAGUUUGCCCAUCCUGUUCAAGAGCAAAAAUCUUCAACAUACAACCACAGCUGGGACCAGAAUUUCCAUUGCCAAGCAAGGCGGUCAUUAAAAUAAGAAACCAGCAACGAGAAUUCAAAGAAGAGCCACAGAAACAGGGACUAGACUAAAGACUAGAAAAUAGGCCAAGUGACACAUGUCCAUGAACUGCAAAGGCAAGUGCAGGGAACAAUUUGUUUUUUUUUAAAAAUUAAAAGAUCAGUCAAACUU